rnacentral:lncRNA from 1 species
UGCCCUUCAACUUGUGCCUCUUUUAUGUGAGAGAACUCUUGCGGUGUGAGAACAUCACUGCAAAUGCCAUGCUCUUCUUGAGAAGCUUUGCUAGUUGUCACACGAGUGCUCAAUCCAUUUCUCUCAAAUGACCAUGCAUUACUGUUGCCCAUCUUGUAUAGUAGUGCUAGUUUUGGCAUGCUGCCCUGCCAUGGCAAUCCAAUGUUAGCUUAACCAGCUUUGAUACCACUUUGUCAUGUCCUUAGUUGAGAUUGCCUAAGGCAUGCGAAUCUUAAGCAAUACUCGUUCGCAAGAGUCAGCCUAAAACUCAACCUCGUACACUCCACAAAGGACCUACAUAGCAACGAAAAGGUUACAAAAGCAAAUAUGCAAGUAAUACACCACAAUCGCACACGAAAAGAGCAAGAUAUCUGGGAUCAUAAGCAAUAUAAAGCAACCAGCUUUUAUUAAACAUGAAAACCUCUCGAAAAGGGGCAAACAGGCACACACAAAGGGGGUUACGAAGGUACAUAUAGGCCCAAUAUUCACCUAGCACCUUCGCCGAACAUAAAGCAAGCACACUAAAGACAUUGAAUCACUCAGACAUAUACCCAAGGCCCUAACCGCCUUGGUGCUACCCAAGAGUUCCAAGGUUUUGAGACAGCUGAUGUUUCGCAUCGCAAAACCGUUAACCACAAAUUAGCCCAUGGCACAUGGAAAAUAGAGUUGUUUUGGGUUAUUUUCCCCUUUGAGCGAUGCUGGACACCCAAAAAAGUUUCUGAGUUUUACAUGAUGAAAACACAAAACAAAAACAUUGACAACAAAUAAAAAUAGGGCUAAAAAAGUGUUUUCUGCCCUGUACAUGCUGCAUAUGACAAAACACUUGAAAACACCGCACAUAAUGAGAAGCAAGAACCAAAAACUGUCAUGGACAAGUGUCGAACAUCGUGACUGCAUUGUUCCAUGACAUUAUUCCAUACCAAAUUUAAGACCAUGCAUCAGGUUAGUCCUCUUGCAUAUUCUUACAACCAAGGAUUGAAAUAUCGUAUCGUACCGAAGUUUCGACAUUCUCUCGGUACGGUACAAUAUACCGAGUGGUAUACAACUCGAUAUACCGUUCGGUGUGUAUAUAUAUAUAUAUAUAUAUAUAUAUAUAUAUAUAUAUAUUCUUUUAUUUAUAUAUAUAUUUAUAUAUAUAAUUUUAAAAAAAUAUACGAUGUCGUCUUUAUAUUUAUUAUUUAUUUAUUUAUUUAUUUAUUUAUAAAUAAAAAAAACUCGCUUAGUAGCUAGCGGUCCGCAUACCGAUUUAUUAUCGGACCGAUACGUACCGCUCAGUACGAGCGGUAUCAUUCGAAACUAUAUACCUUGCUUACAAUCUCCUCCUCUUUCUCUCCUCGUCUAUUAGGUUUGUGCCAACUGAUAUGAUUCAAUUUCCAUGUAUUGGCAAUGUCAUUACGUAUCACGUCUGAACUAAUCUGAUGAGCAAUCAGUACAGGUCUCAUAAUGAAAUUUGAAACCUUGGCUUAAGAAUUGGAACAUUAUUUAAGCAAGCAAGCAUGCAAACUUUGAAAUAAUAUCCUUCUUAUUUGACGCUUUCGUCCCCAUCCCGCAAGAAAUAGAAAGAGUCAAUUGAAAAUUGAAGCAAUUUGAUGAUUUAAAAAGGCCAAAUGAAAAAACCUUGGCCAUAAGGUCUACAUAUCACAUUUAUGCUUACACAAUUUAAAUGGACCCAAGCAUACUUGCCUUCUUAGAAGAUUAAAAUUUGAUCGCUCUCUUGCCAGCAUGAUCCCUCUUGUCAGCAGGAGAAUUCCCCUGUUUCAGUGAGGGAAUAUCUACAGAUUUGUUGUGGGUGUAUAAAACAGCAACUCACAUGAAACCACCAAAGGAAUGUCUAAUUGCAUUUCACAGUGAACUACAUACACUGAGCAUAUAACAAUAAACAAAUGGUAAAACUAACAAAAACUGUCACCAAACAGAAACAUAUUUCUAACCUAAUGAGCCAGAGGCAGCAUAAUACUAUAAUGACAUCCCCACAGAGCCCGUGCUUAUGUUACAUUCUGUUUCCAAAAUACAGAACCUAAAUCUUUAGAUGAGGUAAGAAAUAGAUGAAUGGUCAUGACUCCUAGCUAUGGUAGCUGUUAUGGCUUCUUGAAUCUACAUAUUUUUGUCUUAAACAGCUUAAGGAUACAUUUUGUUUGGAGAUAUGAAUUAACAUGAAAUUGCUGCAAGCAAAUGUUUUCUGUUCGCUUAAGUGAGGCAGAAGCUGCCAUUAGCAGCUAGCCAGGCUGUGUUGUCAGCACAUCAUGUUGUCCCUCCAAGGCAUCAGUAGAAUAAUACUAUUCCUAUUUAGGAUGUAACAGAGGACCAAUGCAUAAUUCAUGACCAAAAUGUUUUGAUUCAUCCAGCAUAUGGAUAUGUUUGGAGCAACUUGCUGAAAUGAUGUAACCAAGGGUAGCUUAUUAUAAUGGGUGAAACAUAAUUGGCAUAAUAGUUAAACUCCUUGUUUACUAUUUCACUAGUCACUUAUGAUUGUUCAUAUAUAAAAGAAAUUUAAAUUCUUUAUGCAUCUUUCAGAAAAAUAAAUGGGAAUUGAAAUCUUAAGCAAUUACCCAAGUUAUACAAGAAAGAUUUCAUGGUUUAGCAUAUAGAUUCCAACAGUCUGUACAGACGUUGUUAGAGGGUAUACCAGCAUUGAUGAAUCUUGGGGAAUAAGGACAAAAGUCACCAAAGCUUUUGAGCAAUUUAUACCUGGACUGCUUUAUAGACCAUACCAAGGCACACCGAUUAGCAUAUACAUAUUUCACAUAAUGACCCAUGAUAAGAAAAGGGGGUCCGAGAAGUCGUUGUCCAUAGAGCAAAUUUGUGGGAAACCCCAUCCCAACAUGGACAAUUGGUCAAAGAAAGAAUUUAAUUGUCAUACACGAACGUCCACAAUUUUACAAGCUUAAGUCCCUUGGAUCAGCAUCUGAUAUCUAUAAAAUGAUGCUAUUGGUCGAACUAUCACCAGUAUCUUUUGAUUUCUACUGAUCUAGGAAGUUCCGGGGAGUAUCCCAUAUAAUUUUCGACUUUAGAAAAGCAUUUUAAUGACUGUUGGCCUAUGAACAAGAAUGAUCAACAGUUCAGUAUGUGAUUGCAAUGUCAUUGAUUAUCGGUGCUUCCUUUCUUCUUAAUGAUCUCAUUGGAGGCAUGUCAAUGAUGAAAAAGUCGGCCAUCCUACCAACCCAAACUCUCUAUCCAUCCAUGAUGCUAAACAAUUUAAAUCUGCAGAAUCAUUCACCUAACCAGCAGAAGGGUAAAAGAUCUGAUAAUCUUACCUCAACAUAUGAUGCCGAAAGCUCCUCCUUUGCUGCUCCUCUUUUUCGUUAACCUCAAUAUUCCCCCGACACUCGACCUCCGCUUCUUCCUGCCCAAAUUCCACACUUUCUUAUCCCGGACCUUCUACAAUAUUUCCUUCCUAAAGAUGACCUUCUCCAGCUUCUAGCCGGGCAGGCAGUAUCGAUGAUUGGACUCCCGACCGUCCCAGCUUCCUCCCACACCUUCGUGCAGCUAAUCUUGGCCUCGGCGACACCGUCGUCCGCGAUGGAGGGCGAGGAGGCGGCCGGAGGGGCACGGCAGCCAUCGGUGGUGGAUGAGGCCGCAGGGGACGCAGACCCUAGGGUUUGGCUGCUUCGCCACCGGCUGGCCCCUUCAUAACGAAAAGCUCGGCGAGGAUGCCACAUCGAAGAUCGAAGAGCCGCUGCCGCUGCCGCUGCUCUUCGGCAGAGAAAAGACACGGAAGGAGGCUACUACGAUAGCAGGCUUUGAUUGGUAAGAGACAGAGAUCGCUGAACGUGGUUCAACAUUUUCC